rnacentral:tRNA from 1 species
GCCUCAGUAGCUCAGUAGGUAGAGCAGUUCGCUGUUAACGAAAAGGUCCGCGGUUCGAGUCCGCGCUGGGGCG